rnacentral:lncRNA from 1 species
AUGGUAUUUCUCUCUUCCCGGUUCCAACAUCCGGGGCAGAGGCAGUCGACAAACGGGGCUUGUGUUAAGCUGGGGGCGAUGAGGAAGGAGCCAGAGAAGGGGCGCUCAGACGUUAUAUGGGUCCGCGGGGUGGGCACACGCGGCAGGGGCGGUGGCGUCAGCACCAUGGAUAGGGGCAGGGAUCCACACACAGGCCUCUGCCUGCCCAUCGCGGGCCAGGCUGGCCGUCGACAGCGCGCGGACAGUGUUUAUGGGUUGAGCGGGGCCAGAUCAGGGAGCACAGUGGCCCUGGAGACCACCGACCGCGCUGGGGAACGACGGGAAGCGGGAAGCGGCAAGGCCAGCGAGAGGGGCUCCAGGGGAGCCUGCGGUUUAGAGCGGGCGCAACCCCGGGGAGGGGAACGUGGGGCGCAAAGGAGCCGCUCCCCGCAGCCCACCCGCCAGGACCAGCUGAGCCUAGUGCGCCUUCUCCCCCGGGACGGGAGUGGCCGAUGACCACCCAACCCUUGCCCGCAGUCACAGCUCUGCACCCCUCCAGCUGCAGCACCACAGCGGCCGUCUGGACAAAGGGGCUGAGGAGAGAGCCAGCAGUGGAAGGGCACAACGUGGGCAACAGGGGACUCACAGCGGCUUCAGUGGCCUCUGCUGGGGGGGCGGGGGAGCGCUAACCGGACAGGCUCGCAGUGUUUUCUGUUAAUCCGCUACCUGCUUGAUGAUAUGAUUUGCAUAUCUUCAGAGGGGAAGUCAGACUUGAUCCCAGUCUAACUUCACAUUUUACGGUCUCAGGGAAAGGCUGCUAGAAAAGAUGAGGGCCCCGGGCGUCACAGAGACCAGGCCGGGCCAGCGGUCAUCGGUCCCCCAGUGAUGAUCGCUGUGGGGCUGACUCACACCAGGGUGCUUGGGUGUGGCUUGGGGGUCGGUCACUUCACAGGCCCAAGUUCCCUGCAGCAACUGGGACGGCACUCACUUUAGGCUGGGGUCUCCUGGGGACCCGAGAUACCCACAGACCAAGCAGCUGAGCAUGAGCUUGCCCAGGAGAGGCGUGGAAACAGUGACGCCCUUCAUGGUCAACCCUGCAGACACCAUGUGGGCCCGAUGGGCCUGUGCCCCUCCCCCCAGCAUCCUUAUCAACAAGGCCAGGGAACAGCGAGGCUGCCGGGGCAGAAGACCUACACACUGAGCCCCGAGUCUGACACUCCUCCCCACAGGACCA